UAGGAAGUGGUGUAAAGGAAGCACGGAGAGUUUUGAGCUCUCAGGGCCGGGUUCGACCCCCGCCUUCCUAA
rnacentral:tRNA from 1 species